GAUGAACGCUAGCGGGAGGCCUAAUACAUGCAAGUCGAACGGUAAGGUCCCUUCGGGGAUACACGAGUGGCGGACGGGUGCGUAACGCGUACGAAACAUACCUUCAACAGGGAGAUACCUCCGGGAAACUGGAAAUAAUACCCAUAGUAUUGAGAUAUCGCAUGAUAUUUCAAUUAAAGCUUUGGUGGUUGAAGAUUGUCGUGCGUCUGAUUAGCUAGUUGGUGAGGUAACGGCUCACCAAGGCGACGGAUCAGUAGCUGGUCUGAGAGGAUGAUCAGCCACACUGGAACUGAGACACGGUCCAGACUCCUACGGGAGGCAGCAGUAGGGAAUAUUGGACAAUGGC
rnacentral:rRNA from 1 species